rnacentral:rRNA from 1 species
UCAUGGGGCGCGCUCUGCGCGCACCGGCGGACGGCUCAGUAACACGUCGGUAACCUACCCUCGGGUAGGGGGAUAACCCCGGGAAACUGGGGCUAAUCCCCCAUAGGCCUGGGGUACUGGAAGGUCCCCAGGCCGAAAGGGGCUCUGCCCGCCCGAGGAUGGGCCGGCGGCCGAUUAGGUAGUUGGUGGGGUAACGGCCCACCAAGCCGAAGAUCGGUACGGGCCACGAGAGUGGGAGCCCGGAGAUGGACACUGAGACACGGGUCCAGGCCCUACGGGGCGCAGCAGGCGCGAAACCUCCGCAAUGCGGGCAACCGCGACGGGGGGACCCCCAGUGCCGUGGCAUCGCCACGGCUUUUCCGGAGUGUAAAAAGCUCCGGGAAUAAGGGCUGGGCAAGGCCGGUGGCAGCCGCCGCGGUAAUACCGGCGGCCCGAGUGGUGGCCGCUAUUAUUGGGCCUAAAGCGUCCGUAGCCGGGCCUGUAAGUCCCUGGCGAAAUCCCACGGCUCAACCGUGGGGCUUGCUGGGGAUACUGCAGGCCUUGGGACCGGGAGAGGCGGGGGGUACCCCUGGGGUAGGGGUGAAAUCCUAUAAUCCCAGGGGGACCGCCAGUGGCGAAGGCGCCCCGCUGGAACGGGUCCGACGGUGAGGGACGAAGGCCAGGGGAGCGAACCGGAUUAGAUACCCGGGUAGUCCUGGCUGUAAAGGAUGCGGGCU